CGACAACCCGCUCGACGCCUGUUCAGCUGUGAGGGUACCGGGGCUCCCAGCCUCCUCUAAGCCAUUGGGGAAGUGAAAGGGGUUCCCCGCCAGGGCCCGAAUAGGAGGAGCCAGCGAGUGCCGGGCCCCUCCCCCCGGGGGCUUACCCUCCGCCUCCGCCUACUCGCUGCAGCCGCCCAGCUUCCUUGCGGAGGAGUCCGAGGCACUGCGUCCAGCAGCAGUUCCCCAUUGCAUGCCGCCCAGGUGCCGCCGCUUCUCCUCCUCCUCCAGCUCAAAGCCCAAACCCAGGCCCGUCAGCCGCAUCCGCGCGGCACGAGCCGAAUGGGGGUUCGGGGACCGAGGGCGGGCCGGCCGGAGCGCGGCGGAGUGAGAGGCUAGGGCGACGGGAGGGACAGGCGCUCGGAACAAAGGCAGCGGUUACUCCAGCGGCCGCCGAGUCGCCGCUGUGCGAGGGAGGAGGGCCGGGCAGCGGGCUCUAGACUCCCUCGUUGUCCUCAUGGCCCCUCGCUCGCCUCAGAUCCCCAAGCUCAGAGCCAGUGACCGCCUCCUGGCGCCGAAAGAGGCCAGUCCCCGCGAGUCGCGCGCCCAGGCCCCGCCCCCGGCGCGCCCAGGCCGGCGCCUGGCCACCGUCUCCGCCACACCCCCAGGCUUUCCCGGGCCCCAAUAGGCCGUUCCCUCGGCUGCCCCGCCCCCUCCGGCGACUGGCCUUACGUCACUUCCGCCAGCUCUUGGUUUCCCGCUUUUGGGUCCCGAGCGUCUCCGGUGUCACACUAUCAAGGCUCAGUUUUCGAACUUUGUACCAAAGCCUUGUGAGCGGCUUAUCUAGAGCCCCGGGCCAGGAGUCAUCAGGUGUGAAGGGGGCACUUCUCUGUGAGUUAAGAUGUAGAAGUACAUGAAAGACAAAUGGUAACAACAAGAAAAACCUCAACAAAGUUAAAAUCAUAUUUUUUAAUGAGGUCAGCGAGGAAUGAAGAAUGAAAGAAAACCCUGAGGAACUGCUUUUCAAAGAGAAAUGAGGCAUUCAUAAAUGAACAGAAAGCCUCAGCAAUUUCCCACUUGGGAGUAGGCACCUGGUCUAAAUACAGGCAGAUGGAGAAUUAGCUUGUCAAAGAUGGAGAUGAGAAGAAACCAACCAAGAUUUUGACAGUAAUGUGGGCUUGUGGGAUGCACAUGAAUUUGGAAGAAGACUAUAGUAGAUUGAGUUUUCCAAAAAUGUCCUCAACAGUAUCUUCCAUCCUACAGAAUCUUUCCUACAAUGUGACAAUGACAUUCCUUCCACGGAGUGGUAGUGUUCAUGGUCCCUGCCUUGAAUCUGGUCAAGUUUGUGACAAUGGUGAAAAUAAUGAUAUGUGAAUUCUGAGGCUAAGUCAUAAAAGGUGUUAUAGCUUCUAGCUGGACCUCUCGCGAUGCAUGACUUUGCAACCCCAACUGCAAUGUAAGGAGUCUAAAGCUGCUGUGGUAUGAGGAAAGAUCAUGUGGGGAUGUUCUGGAUCAUCCCAAGCUGAGUUCGCAGCCAACAGUCGGAAUCAACCCACAAGCGUGUGUGUGAUUGGAGCCACCUCUAGAAGAUUCCUGCUCCCUGGAGGCAGGUUACUUCCAGCCUGAUUCACAUAAUCCCUGAACAUAAUAAAAUGAUCUUAUUUCAAA